rnacentral:misc_RNA from 1 species
ACGAGUUUUAAUUGUUAGGUUAGAGUUGAGCUGGUUAAUCUAAUUAAUAUGUGCUUACUCUAAUCGAAACAAGUCCACUCAUUACUUAACACUUGUGAACUUAUUCAUUACAAACAUUAUUAUUUGUUAUUGGAAGGUUUGAUUAUUAAAAAGUUAAUA